rnacentral:rRNA from 1 species
AACGCUAGCUACAGGCUUAACACAUGCAAGUCGAGGGGCAGCAUGGUCUUAGCUUGCUAAGGCCGAUGGCGACCGGCGCACGGGUGAGUAACACGUAUCCAACCUGCCGUCUACUCUUGGACAGCCUUCUGAAAGGAAGAUUAAUACAAGAUGGCAUCAUGAGUCCGCAUGUUCACAUGAUUAAAGGUAUUCCGGUAGACGAUGGGGAUGCGUUCCAUUAGAUAGUAGGCGGGGUAACGGCCCACCUAGUCUUCGAUGGAUAGGGGUUCUGAGAGGAAGGUCCCCCACAUUGGAACUGAGACACGGUCCAAACUCCUACGGGAGGCAGCAGUGAGGAAUAUUGGUCAAUGGGCGAGAACCUGAACCAGCCAAGUAGCGUGAAGGAUGACUGCCCUAUGGGUUGUAAACUUCUUUUAUAAAGGAAUAAAGUCGGGUAUGGAUACCCGUUUGCAUGUACUUUAUGAAUAAGGAUCGGCUAACUCCGUGCCAGCAGCCGCGGUAAUACGGAGGAUCCGAGCGUUAUCCGGAUUUAUUGGGUUUAAAGGGAGCGUAGAUGGAUGUUUAAGUCAGUUGUGAAAGUUUGCGGCUCAACCGUAAAAUUGCAGUUGAUACUGGAUAUCUUGAGUGCAGUUGAGGCAGGCGGAAUUCGUGGUGUAGCGGUGAAAUGCUUAGAUAUCACGAAGAACUCCGAUUGCGAAGGCAGCCUGCUAAGCUGCAACUGACAUUGAGGCUCGAAAGUGUGGGUAUCAAACAGGAUUAGAUACCCUGGUAGUCCACACGGUAAACGAUGAAUACUCGCUGUUUGCGAUAUACAGCAAGCGGCCAAGCGAAAGCGUUAAGUAUUCCACCUGGGGAGUACGCCGGCAACGGUGAAACUCAAAGGAAUUGACGGGGGCCCGCACAAGCGGAGGAACAUGUGGUUUAAUUCGAUGAUACGCGAGGAACCUUACCCGGGCUUAAAUUGCAGAUGAAUUACGGUGAAAGCCGUAAGCCGCAAGGCAUCUGUGAAGGUGCUGCAUGGUUGUCGUCAGCACGUGCCGUGAGGUGUCGGCUUAAGUGCCAUAACGAGCGCAACCCUUGUUGUCAGUUACUAACAGGUUCCGCUGAGGACUCUGACAAGACUGCCAUCGUAAGAUGUGAGGAAGGUGGGGAUGACGUCAAAUCAGCACGGCCCUUACGUCCGGGGCUACACACGUGUUACAAUGGGGGGUACAGAGGGCCGCUACCACGCGAGUGGAUGCCAAUCCCAAAAACCUCUCUCAGUUCGGACUGGAGUCUGCAACCCGACUCCACGAAGCUGGAUUCGCUAGUAAUCGCGCAUCAGCCACGGCGCGGUGAAUACGUUCCCGGGCCUUGUACACACCGCCCGUCAAGCCAUGGGAGCCGGGGGUACCUGAAGUGCGUAACCGCGAGGAGCGCCCUAGGGUAAAACUGGU